UGAAUUUUCUGUCAGACAAAA
rnacentral:piRNA from 1 species